CCUACGGGCUGCACCAGUAGGGAAUCUUCGGCAAUGGACGAAAGUCUGACCGAGCAACGCCGCGUGAGUGAAGAAGGUUUUCGGAUCGUAAAACUCUGUUGUUAGAGAAGAACAAGUAGGAGAGUAACUGCUCUUACCUUGACGGUAUCUAACCAGAAAGCCACGGCUAACUACGUGCCAGCAGCCGCGGUAAUACGUAGGUGGCAAGCGUUGUCCGGAUUUAUUGGGCGUAAAGCGAGCGCUGGCAGUCUUUUAGGUCUGAUGUGAAGGCCCUCGGCUCAAGGGAGUAAGGUCAUUGGAAACUGGAGGACUUGAGUGCAGAAGAGGAGAGUGGAAUUCCAUGUGUAGCGGUGAAAUGCGUAGAUAUAUGGAGGAACACCAGUGGCGAAGGCGACUCUCUGGUCUGUAACUGACGCUGAGGCUCGAAAGCGUGGGGAGCAAACAGGAUUAGAUACCCGUGUAGUC
rnacentral:rRNA from 1 species